GUUUCUUUUGAAUACUUAACAAACUUCCGAACAGUUCAUGUUUUUUUGCUCAAUUUAAAAUCUUGAAAACAUAAGCAUGUAUAUUAAAAACUGACGAUCAGACAUCACUAAUACGUGUAUACACAAAUUCAUUAAUUCUUUAUUAACGUUUAGCCCUACGGCACCUUUCUAUUAAGAAUGAUGAUGAGAGUAAUUGUAAUAUAUAAUAGGCAUGUACUUUCUUACGUUACGGAUCAUUGAUUUUGUUACCUGUUGACCCGGUUGAUUACUAGCACGUGCCAUCGAACUCG
rnacentral:lncRNA from 1 species